rnacentral:rRNA from 1 species
CGCUGGCGGCGUGCCUAACACAUGCAAGUCGAACGGGGUGAGAUCCUUCAGGGUUUCACUUAGUGGCGAACGGGUGAGUAACGCGUGAGGAACCUGCCUUUCAGUGGGGGACAACAGUUGGAAACGACUGCUAAUACCGCAUAAUGCUAUCGGACCGCAUGAUCUGAUAGCCAAAGAUUUAUUGCUGAAAGAUGGCCUCGCGUCUGAUUAGCUAGUUGGUGGGGUAACGGCCCACCAAGGCGACGAUCAGUAGCCGGUCUGAGAGGAUGAACGGCCACAUUGGGACUGAGAUACGGCCCAGACUCCUACGGGAGGCAGCAGUGGGGAAUAUUGGGCAAUGGGGGAAACCCUGACCCAGCAACGCCGCGUGAAGGAAGAAGGCCUUCGGGUUGUAAACUUCUUUUACCAGGGACGAAGAAAGUGACGGUACCUGGAGAAAAAGCAACGGCUAACUACGUG